rnacentral:rRNA from 1 species
GAUGAACGCUGGCUGUGUGCCUAAUACAUGCAUGUCGAACGAAGCACUUGUGCUUAGUGGCGAAUGGGUGAGUAACACGUACUUAAUCUACCUCUAGGUUUGGGACAACAAUUGGAAACGAUUGCUAAUACCGAAUAUUCCUUUUUCUCGCAUGAGAGAUUGGUAAAAGGCCCGUUUGGGUCGCCAAGAGAUGAGAGUGCGGUACAUUAGUUAGUUGGUAGGGUAAUGGCCUACCAAGACGAUGAUGUAUAGCGGGGUUGAGAAGCUGAACCGCCACACUGGGACUGAGAUACGGCCCAGACUCCUACGGGAGGCAGCAGUAGGGAAUAUUCCACAAUGAGCGAAAGCUUGAUGGAGCGACACAGCGUGCAGGAUGAAGGUCUUCGGAUUGUAAACUGCUGUUAUAAGGGAAGAAAAAACCGGUAGUAGGAAAUGACAUCGGCUUGACGGUACCUUAUCAGAAAGCACCGGCAAACUAUGUGCCAGCCGCCGCCGUAAA